CUGCCGUCCUGUUGAAGCUGCGCAAGAACACCGAGUCUUCAGAGACUCGGGACUGAUGAAUGAGGACAGAAUAAUACUGGCCUGGCAAGAAAACCCCAGAGUACCCUAGAACAGAGAUGGCAGCCCUUCUCCUAAUCGCUCCUGGGUUGUGCCACUGAGGGAGAGAGGGUGAAGACACACAGAGCAAUCAGGGUAGGGGGAGACCCUGAGGCCCCUCCGCCAGGAAGAGUUAACAGCAGCAGGCAUUACCUUUCUUCCCAGGAUUUGGUUAAUGGCUGCACUUUCCUUCAGGGAGGCAGAGGCAAGUGGAUAUCUGAGUUUGAGGCCAGCCUGGUCUACAGAGUGAGUUCCAGGACAGCCAGGGCUAUACAGAGAAACUCUUGUCUUGAAAAACCAAAACAAACAAACAAAAAAAACCAAACCAACCAAACAAAAAAGGAUCAAGGAACCCCACCACCCUGCUACUAACCUAUAGGUGACUGGUUGGCUUAUGGCCAGAAGUGGCAGUCACUAAUAUCCCUGGGCUUUGACAUCAUUUUGGCAGCCCCAGCCUGAGGACUCACCUAGACAUUGAAGCGUUCAUGGCGAGGGCAGGCUGUCCCCAGGAGCUUGAUGACCACAGCAAAGGCUGAGGCCACCAGUCAGGAAUGCACAGCCUCAAGUGGACAACCUCAGUACAAGUCGUAGGAGCCACACGGGCUUGCUCAGCAAGGAAUGCCAUCCGAAACAGCCAAAUCCUUCCAGCAAGCUACGUAGGUCGAGCACCUUCUCAGCCCAGGAUUGCUCAGGUGUUCAUGCACACCAGAAGAGGGAAUCAGAUUCCAUUUUGCAUGGUUGUGAGCCACCUUGUGGCUGCUGUGAAUUCAACUCAGGAGAGCAGCCAGCACUCUUAACUGCGGAGUCAUCUCUCCAGCACCCUGUUUUGUUUUGUUUUUCCCUUAACCUGAUCAGAAACCAGUUGCAUGGGAUUGAUCGCUCAGGAGAGUAGACCCUUCCCUUCUACUGUCAAUCAUGAUGGAGUCCUGGACUUGACAAUGGCUGCCCAGGAAAUCACCCAACAUUUCAGUAGACAACUAACAAUGCUAUUCAGAAU
rnacentral:lncRNA from 1 species